AGCGAACGCUGGCGGCAGGCUUAACACAUGCAAGUCGAACGCCCCGCAAGGGGAGUGGCAGACGGGUGAGUAACACGUGGGAACGUACCCUUUGGUUCGGAAUAACUUGGGGAAACUCAAGCUAAUACCGGAUAAGCCCUUAUGGGGAAAGGUUUACUGCCGAAGGAUCGGCCCGCGUCUGAUUAGCUAGUUGGUGAGGUAAUGGCUCACCAAGGCGACGAUCAGUAGCUGGUCUGAGAGGAUGAUCAGCCACACUGGGACCGAGACACGGCCCAGACUCCUACGGGAGGCAGCAGUGGGGAAUAUUGGACAAUGGGGGCAACCCUGAUCCAGCCAUGCCGCGUGAGUGAUGAAGGCCUUAGGGUUGUAAAGCUCUUUUACCCGGGACGAUAAUGACUGUACCGGGAGAAUAAGCCCCGGCUAACUUCGUGCCAGCAGCCGCCGUAA
rnacentral:rRNA from 1 species